CCCAAUGCAGUCAACCCCUCUGUGAGCACAGAAGUAAUGAACAAAAGAUUCAUUUCAUGUGGGUGCUUCACACACUUUCUACUGACCUCAUGCAGCAACUUCAAAGGACUUCUCUGUUCAGAGUAAUUAUCUGCAAUUUGCAGAGUAGCACACAGUCUUCUCACAGAUUGUACACUUCCCUUCAGACCCCAAGCUGGCUGGAUGUGAACAUGACAACACUUCAUUUCUAGACCAGAAACAGCUUCCUGAUCCAGCCUACAAAAAAGGAAGGAAAAUAUUUUAAAUUAAAGUCUUUCCAAAGAGCUAUGUCCUUGGUGUUGGCAUGCUACUCACCGUGAUCCAAGAGCCCAGCUGGAUCAAAUACAAACAUGAUGCUGCGUGCCUACUGAAGAUAGUACCCACUGGCUUUGGUGUGAGACAGCAGUCUCACUCUUAGAAUUUCAACAGUGAAUGUAGUGAACAGAAGAGCUGAUGGAAUUUUGCAUAAUGUGCCUUAUAAAGCAACUCAGUGAAAAUAGCGUCCUGAAGGCCUGACCUCACCUAACCUGACCAGAAUGUCCAGUUAUGUUCCCUCUACAAAACCAGAUGGACUGUGAAGAAGUUGGGACCAAGUGUUAAAUAGGGAAUCCUCAUCUCAGUGUGAACUAUGUUAAUGGUGGGAGACAUGGUUGCAGAUAACCAAAAGCUGUGGAUAAAACUCAAAAACCCUAAUAAACAUAACGGUGUCUUCUCAGGCAGUGAGGAACAGUGCCUAGAACAUGGUUGUGAUGGUUAAUUUUAUGUGUCAGCUAUGAUGCCCAGUUGUUUGGUCAAACACCAGUCUAGAUGUUGCUGUAAAAGUAUGUUUUAGAUGUGACUAAUAUUUAAAUAGACUUCGAGCAAAGGAGAUUAAUCUCUAUAAUGUGGAUGAGUUUCAUGCAAUCAGUUGAAGGCCUUAAGAGCAAAGACUAAGGUUUCCCUAAAGAAAGCUAUUCUGCCUCAAAACUGCAUCACAGAAUCUCUGCCUGUAUUUUCAGCUGAAUGGUCUGCCCUGCAAAUUUCAAACUCAAGACUACAAUAGAGUUUAGACUUGCCAGCCUCACAAUCACAUGAGCCAUUUCUUAAAAUAAAUCUCUAUCUCUCUAUUUUUCUCUAUACACACACACACACACGCACAGGCCCUACUGGCUCUGUUAGUCUGGAGAACCUUGACUAACACGAUGGUAGUUACUUACUGCUCACCAGAAGCCCUAAGAGACUGAAUAUAGAAAUGGACAGUGGCCAUGCCAUAUGUAAAAUUAGAAAUUCGACCCACAACCUGCAGCAAGCUGCCCGAGAAACCAACACCCUCAUCAACAAUAAACAACCCAGGAGAUCAGCCUGCUGUAAGUCAGAAUUGCAGGAAACCAGAUUGCUUUCUUUAGUGACAAUCCAGGAAGCUAAACAAUAACUUGUGUAACAAUUGGCCCAGAAUCGUCAGGAAAUGAAUGAAUGACAGUUUCUUUAAUUUUGCCCCUGCUUCCAACUUAGGACCAGAGAAAGCCAAAUAAGCACCUUAGCAAAUUGCACAGGAUGCCCCAUCUAGAGGCCAAAGCAACUCCAUCUUGGAUGCUAAUCUGCCCUGUUAGCUUCUGAUUAACCCUCAUUCCAAUUUAUCUAUUUGAACCUUGUUUAAGAGCAGGUACUUAUUGUAAAUCCUGCCCUUAGAGUAAGACACCUUGAUAAACUCAUACAUACAGUAAAUCCUGCCCUUAGGUCAAACAGCUUUGAUGUUAUCAUAAUUGUCUUACAAAUUCCUUUUCAACCACUCCUCUCCCUAUGGCAUAAAAGUCCCAGGUCUUGGGGGUAAUUAUGCUGGGAUCCACCAACUUGCCUCAUCACUGCCCAAGAUAUAGUCACGGCUUCUGUUCCUAAAUCCCUAUUAAAUGUUUCUUUCUAAGAAACUGGGUGCCUCUUUGGCCUCUCAACUUCCUUAGACUUUGAUGUAGGAUUACACAGACCUGCCCACUGUGAAACACUGACUCCAGUCAACCUGCUUCUGGCUUCCCUAUGCCAACAGUCUUCAACCAGGGCAUAUCUGAAGGCUUCCCUUUUUUCUGCUAUAAAACUUUUCCACCCAUCUGCCCGCCUUUGACUUUCUGCCAAAACCCAGGUGAUGGUGGCUAACUCCCUUGCUAUAGUAAGCUAAGAAUAGCCUUUCCUUUUCUCAUUUGGUUGAUCAUUUAUUUCCACAGCCCUAAGGCCUUGAGAUGGCAAGAAAUCAGUUCUGGCAGAAACCAUAGUGAGAUAGGACCUGCCUCAAAAUGCUACUGCCUCUAGAGACAGAAUUUCCAGACUCAAUAGGUAUAACUCAAGAGUGUGGAUAAUAUAGAAGAAUGUAUAUUUUUAUGUAUUCUCCUCCUAAACAGCACUGUUAUUCAUCAGGCUGUAUGAUAUUAUUUUAACCGAAACAAAUGGCAAUAUCAAGAUAUAUUAUAAGAUGAAAAACCUUUAGUAUAAAAACAAUUUUUAAGAUUUAAUUUUUGACUUAUGGCUCAGAUGAUAACUUGCUAACUAUACAUUCAACUAUAAAAUAGUCUAUUUUAUUAUUUUUUUUAGAGACAGGGUCUCAUUCUGUCGCCCAGGCUGGAGUGCAGUGACGCCAGUGCAGUCUGGAACUCCUAGGCUCAAGGAGAUCCUCCACCUCAGCUGUCCAAGUAGCUAGGACUACAAGGACGUACCACCAGGCCCAAAAGAUUCUAUUUUUAAACAUACCUUCUUUUAUUCUCAACAAAUGCACUAUUUCAGAUAAAAAUAUAAAAAGUACUAUUUAUCUGUAAAACGGUGG
rnacentral:lncRNA from 1 species